UUAAACCAAUGUUCCAAAUUUUUGAAUCAAAAUAUUUAAUUUGAAAUCAAAGAAUUUUUCUUUCGACUCUGAAUCAAUGUGGAAAUUCAUUGAUUUAGAUGAAUUUUCUUUUGAAUCAAAGUAUUUUUUCGUCAAACAGUCGACACAUCUUCAUUAUCUUCUGUUUGGUGAACGGGUUGGCGAGAAGUUUUUCCGACAAUCAGUCCUGUUUAUUUUUUGCGAAAUCUUACUGCUGCGCAACAGCCAGACAGCACCGGAAUCACGAGAUACGGCGUAGGAAAGUCUCGUGAGCUUUAAAAGGACAAACGAUAGUGAACUCCUAGGGCAAUCAUUCAUCCAACUAAAUGCUUCGGAUCCGGUCCAAGGAAACAUCUGGCGCCGAAACCCUGUUCGAAUGGAACUGUCCGCCAACAAACAUCUUUCAAUGUACCGGUUCAAAACUCUAAUCCUGGAGAAAAUCGAUUAUGUGAACAUGAACUUACAGGGAAAUAAAAUGUUUUAAACCAUAA